AACCUGCGGAAGGAUCAUUGUCGAAACCUGCAAAGCAGAACGACCCGCGAACUUGUUUAAACACUGGGGAGUGGCGCGGCCGGGGUGCUUCGGCCUCCGCCCGUGCGCUCUCUCCUAUCCCCGGCGCGCGCGUCGGCUGGCUGCUGGGUGAUUAACGAACCCGGCGUGGAAAGCGCCAAGGAAUACUAAAUUGAAAGCCUGCCCCUCGCGCCCCGUUCGCGGUGCGCGCGUGGGGACUUGUGCUUCUUUUGAAACAUAAACGACUCUCGGCAACGGAUAU
rnacentral:rRNA from 1 species